rnacentral:lncRNA from 1 species
AAACAGUACACACUGUCUAACGCGAGGUGGGUGGAAAAUAAAAAUACUGCCCUGAAGGAGGAUACACUGUCUAACGCGAGGUGGGUGGAAAGUAAAAUACUGCCCUGAAGGAGGAUACACUGUCUAACGUGAGGUGGGUGGAAAGUAAAAAUACUGCCCUGAAGGAGGAUACACUGUCUAACGUGAGGUGGGUGGAAAGUAAAAAUACUGCCCUGAAGGAGGAUACACUGUCUAACGUGAGGUGGGUGGAAAGUAAAAUACUGCCCUGAAGGAGGAUACACUGUCUAACGUGAGGUGGGUGGAAAGUAAAAAUACUGCCCUGAAGGAGGAUACACUGUCUAACGCGAGGUGGGUGGAAAGUAAAAAUACUGCCCUGAAGGAGGAUACACUGUCUAACGCGAGGUGGGUGGAAAAUAAAAAUACUGCCCUGAAGGAGGAUACACUGUCUAACGUGAGGUGGGUGGAAAGUAAAAAUACUGCCCUGAAGGAGGAUACACUGUCUAACGUGAGGUGGGUGGAAAGUAAAAUACUGCCCUGAAGGAGGAGGAAGUGUGAGCACUAAUAUUCGUUAGCGUGAGAGAUCCCAGCGUGGCCUCCGU